rnacentral:rRNA from 1 species
UGGACUGCGGGAGAUACUGCCUAGCUAGAGAACGGGAGAAGCCGACGGUACUCUCAGGGUAGGAGUGAAAUCCUAUAAUCCUGGGAGGACCACCAGUGGCGUAGGCUGUCGGCUAGAACGUGUCUGACGGUGAGGGACGAAAGCUUGGGGAGCGAACCGGAUUAGAUACCCGGGUAGUCCAAGCUGUAAACGAUGCGGGCUAGGUGUUGGGGUGGCUACGUGCCACUUCAGUGCCGCAGGGAAGCCGUUAAGCCCGCCGCCUGGGGAGUACGGUCGCAAGGCUGAAACUUAAAGGAAUUGGCGGGGGAGCACCACAAGGGGUGAAGCUUGCGGUUUAAUUGGAGUCAACGCCGGGAACCUUACCGGGGACGACAGCAGAAUGAAGGCCAGAUUUAAGGUCUUGCUAGACGAGCUGAGAGGAGGUGCAUGGCCGUCGCCAGUUCGUGCCGUGAGGUGUCCUGUCAAGUCAGGCAACGAUCGAGACCCACAUCCAUUGUUGCGGCUGAGGAGGUUUCUCCGAGGAGCAAGACUGUGGAGACUGCCGCCGAUAAGGCGGAGGAAG